UUCCGUACGUGAACCUGCGGAAGGAUCAUUG
rnacentral:rRNA from 1 species